GACGAACGCUGGCGGCGUGCUUAACACAUGCAAGUCGAGCGGGGAUUUAAGACGGAAAGCUUCGGCCGGAAGUUUUGAAUUCUAGCGGCGGACGGGAGAGUAACGCGUGAACAAUCUGUCCUACACAGGGGGAUAACACUUGGAAACAGGUGCUAAUACCGCAUAAGACCACGACACCACAUGGUGAUGAGGUAAAAGAUUUAUCGGUGUAGGGUGAGUUCGCGUCCGAUUAGCUAGUUGGUGAGGUAACGGCCCACCAAGGCGACGAUCGGUAGCCGACCUGAGAGGGUGAUCGGCCACAUUGGAACUGAGACACGGUCCAAACUCCUACGGGAGGCAGCAGUGGGGAAUAUUGGGCAAUGGGCGCAAGCCUGACCCAGCAACGCCGCGUGAGGGAAGAAGGUUUUCGGAUUGUAAACCUCUGUCCUCAAGGACGAAAACAAUGACGGUACUUGAGGAGGAAGCCCCGGCUAACUACGUGCCAGCCGCCGCUGUAAAAC
rnacentral:rRNA from 1 species